UAGUCCACGUCGUAAACGAUGGUCACUAGCUGUUCGAACUUCGGUUUGAGUGGCUAAGCGAAAGUGAUAAGUGACCCACCUGGGGAGUACGUUCGCAAGAAUGAAACUCAAAGGAAUUGACGGGGCCCGCACAAGCGGUGGAGCAUGUGGUUUAAUUCGAUGAUACGCGAGGAACCUUACCAGGGCUUAAAUGUAGAUUGCAUUAGCUAGAGAUAGCUAUUUCUUCGGACUAUCUACAAGGUGCUGCAUGGUUGUCGUCAGCUCGUGCCGUGAGGUGUCAGGUUAAGUCCUAUAACGAGCGCAACCCCUAUCGUUAGUUGCUAGCAGGUCAUGCUGAGGACUCUAACGAGACUGCCGGUGCAAACCGUGAGGAAGGUGGGGGAUGACGUCAAAUCAUCACGGGCCCUUACGUCCUGGGGCUACACACGUGCUACAAUGGGUAUAUACAGAGGGGCAGGCUACCUAGUGAUAGGGAUGCGAAUCUUGAAAGUAUAU
rnacentral:rRNA from 1 species